rnacentral:rRNA from 1 species
CUACGUGCCAGCAGCCGCGGUAAUACGUAGGGCGCGAGCGUUGUCCGGAAUUAUUGGGCGUAAAGAGCUUGUAGGCGGUUGGUCGCGUCUGCUGUGAAAGGCUGGGGCUUAACCCUGGUUUUGCAGUGGGUACGGGCUAACUAGAGUGCAGUAGGGGAGACUGGAAUUCCUGGUGUAGCGGUGGAAUGCGCAGAUAUCAGGAGGAACACCGAUGGCGAAGGCAGGUCUYUGGGCUGUAACUGACGCUGAGAAGCGAAAGCAUGGGGAGCGAACAGGAUUAGAUACCCUGGUAGUCCAUGCCGUAAACGUUGGGCACUAGGUGUGGGGGACAUUCCACGUUUUCCGCGCCGUAGCUAACGCAUUAAGUGCCCCGCCUGGGGAGUACGGCCGCAAGGCUAAAACUCAAAGAAAUUGACGGGGGCCCGCACAAGCGGUGGAGCAUGUGGUUUAAUUCGAUGCAACGCGAAGAACCUUACCUACUCUUGACAUCCAUGGAAUCUUGUAGAGAUACGGGAGUGC